UAGUAUAGCAUUAUACCGUGAACUGCGAAUGGCUCAUUAAAUCAGUUAUCGUUUAUUUGAUUAUACCUUACUACUUGGAUAACCGUGGUAAUUCUAGAGCUAAUACAUGCUGAAAAUCCCGACUUCGGAAGGGAUGUGUUUAUUAGAUAAAAAACCCAAUGCCCUUCGGGGCUUUUUGGUGAUUCAUGAUAACUUUACGGAUCGCAUAGCCUUGCGCUGGCGACGGUUCAUUCAAAUUUCUGCCCUAUCAACUUUCGAUGGUAAGGUAUUGGCUUACCAUGGUUUCAACGGGUAACGGGGAAUAAGGGUUCGAUUCCGGAGAGGGAGCCUGAGAAACGGCUACCACAUCCAAGGAAGGCAGCAGGCGCGCAAAUUACCCAAUCCCGACACGGGGAGGUAGUGACAAUAAAUACUGAUACAGGGCUCUUUUGGGUCUUGUAAUUGGAAUGAGUACAAUUUAAACCUCUUAACGAGGAACAAUUGGAGGGCAAGUCUGGUGCCAGCAGCCGCGGUAAUUCCAGCUCCAAUAGCGUAUAUUAAAGUUGUUGCAGUUAAAAAGCUCGUAGUUGAAACUUGGGUCUGGCUGGCGGGUCCGCCUCACCGCGUGCACUCGUCCGGCCGGGCCUUCCUUCUGAAGAACCUCAUGCCCUUCACUGGGCGUGUUGGGGAAUCAGGACUUUUACUUUGAAAAAAUUAGAGUGUUCAAAGCAGGCCUUUGCUCGAAUACGUUAGCAUGGAAUAAUAAAAUAGGACGUGCGUUCCUAUUUUGUUGGUUUCUAGGAACGCCGUAAUGAUUAACAGGAACAGUCGGGGGCGUCAGUAUUCAGUUGUCAGAGGUGAAAUUCUUGGAUUUACUGAAGACUAACUACUGCGAAGGCAUUCGCCAAGGAUGUUUUCAUUAAUCAGUGAACGAAAGUUAGGGGAUCGAAGACGAUCAGAUACCGUCGUAGUCUUAACCGUAAACUAUGCCGACUAGGGAUCGGGCGAUGUUCUUUUUCUGACUCGCUCGGCACCUUACGAGAAAUCAAAGUUUUGGUCUGGGGAU
rnacentral:rRNA from 1 species